AUUGAGAUAAGUUGUUGGCGUGUUUUUGCGACGCAUGGAUUGCAGCUCCAAAUACCAUCCGAUGAUGCCAGCUGGAUCCGUCAUGCAACAACAACAACAAUGUAAACUCUCCCUUAAUUAAGUGAAUACAAGAAAAAAAGUCUUUUGGACUAAAAAACGUGUCUAUUUAUUCUCCGCAGUUCCUCAAUUUUAUUGUGAUUUUGCCGAAAAAUAGUUUAUUAUGAGCUUA